ACGCUGGCGGCACGCCUUAUACAUGCAAGUCGAACGGAGUAGCAAUACUCAGUGGCAGACGGGUGAGUAACAUGUGGGUAUCUUCCCUUUGGUGAGGAAUAACACGAGGAAACUUGUGCUAAUACCUCAUAAGUCUUUACGGAGAAAGCUUUAUGCGCCAUUGGAUGAGCCCGCACUUGAUUAGUUUGUUGGUGGGGUAAUGGCCUACCAAGACUUUGAUCAAUAGCUGAUUUGAGAGGAUGAUCAGCCACAUUGGGACUGAGACACGGCCCAAACUCCUACGGGAGGCAGCAGUAGGGAAUCUUGCACAAUGGAGGAAACUCUGAUGCAGCGAUGCCGCGUGAGUGAAGAAGGCCCUUGGGUUGUAAAGCUCUUUCGUCGGGGAAGAAAAUGACUGUACCCGAAUAAGAAGGUCCGGCUAACUUCGUGCCAGCAGCCGCGGUAAUACGAAGGGACCUAGCGUAGUUCGGAAUUACUGGGCUUAAAGAGUUCGUAGGUGGUUAAAAAAGUUGGUGGUGAAAUCCCAGAGCUUAACUCUGGAACUGCCAUCAAAACUUUUUAGCUAGAGUAUGAUAGAGGAAAGCAGAAUUUCUAGUGUAGAGGUGAAAUUCGUAGAUAUUAGAAAGAAUACCAAUUGCGAAGGCAGCUUUCUGGAUCAUUACUGACACUGAGGAACGAAAGCAUGGGUAGCGAAGAGGAUUAGAUACCCUCGUAGUCCAUGCCGUAAACGAUGUGUGUUAGACGUUGGAAAUUUAUUUUCAGUGUCGCAGCGAAAGCAAUAAACACACCGCCUGGGGAGUACGACCGCA
rnacentral:rRNA from 1 species